rnacentral:lncRNA from 1 species
GUCAGUCGCACGAGUUACGAGCUCUAAAACGCACCAAAGUGGUAUGUAAAAAGGUAAAAGGACCAGAAAUCAACGAAACACCGUCGGCGAGUUGGCAACUCUGUUCGAUGUCCGUAAGGAUUUAAAAUCACCCAUUUUGAAUAUUUAGUGAUUAUCUAUGGACGUGUCCCAUUAACCAGUACAAAAACGUGCAAAUAAAAAGCAGAGAAGUCAAGGCUGAAAUUAUGGAGAAACUGAAAUUUGAAACAAAAAACAUUUGAGAGAUUACAAUGGACAAUAUGAUACUCCUCUUACAUACAAACUAGCCAGGGAGUACGAAUUUAGAUUCAUUAUAUAGAAAGGAAUUAAUUACCCAAACCAAAAGAAGAUAAUGAUAUUAUUUAAAGUUCUCGAAAUGAAUGUAAAUUAAAUAUUAACUGCAAUUAUAUUGAUAUACAUAUGUAUAUGUACAUAUACCCGUCUGAUAGACGCAUAAAGGGUAUCAAAAACCCAAACAGAUUGAUCAAAACAAAUAUCAAAUUGGAACCUAAACAAAUCUAAUCAGCAACUGAGCGAUUAGCAACCUCGCCACAAUUCUCUGAUUGGAAGAAACAAGAGCUCAACGCACGAGAGAGCAAAGCCAAGAGAACCAUAAGAAAACAGGUUGAAGCCAUUGAUAUACCUUGCCCUUGGUGCCGGCCACAUGGAUGAAGGACAGUUGCUCUACAGUUUCCAGCGGCAGACCACUCCGCUCCAGAUAUUUAAUGGUAUCCGCUUUGGUAUCCACACGGG